CACGUAGGCGGUUCGUUAAGUCAGAUGUGAAAGCCCUCGGCUCAACCGAGGAAGUGCAUCUGAAACUGGCGAGCUAGAGUACUAAAGAGGGUCGCGGAAUUCCCGGUGUAGAGGUGAAAUUCGUAGAUAUCGGGAGGAACACCGGUGGCGAAGGCGGCGACCUGGGUAGGUACUGACGCUGAGGUGCGAAAGCGUGGGGAGCAAACA
rnacentral:rRNA from 1 species